ensembl:lncRNA MRPS30-DT MRPS30 divergent transcript
GCUGGGAGGAGAUGCUGCCACCUAGGUUACUUGUAGGACCCUAUACGGCAACCUCCUUUGCCAGGAACUAUUUAUAAACAUCCUGCAGGAAAAUGGUAGCUGAGACCAAUGAUGCUGACCUCCCUCAAAAGCUGCAUUUCUGAAUUUCUGAAGGCAAACUGUCUGCCUAUAUUGUACAGCAAAAUAAUUUCCUGUAUUAAAACGUUUUUAUUGCUCUAAA